rnacentral:rRNA from 1 species
UACGUAGGGUGCAAGCGUUAAUCGGAAUUACUGGGCGUAAAGCGUGCGCAGGCGGUAAUGUAAGACAGGUGUGAAAUCCCCGGGCUUAACCUGGGAACUGCAUUUGUGACUGCAUCGCUGGAGUGCGGCAGAGGGGGGAUGGAAUUCCACGUGUAGCAGUGAAAUGCGUAGAUAUGUGGAGGAACACCGAUGGCGAAGGCAGCCCCCUGGGUUAACACUGACGCUCAUGCACGAAAGCGUGGGGAGCAAACAGG